rnacentral:rRNA from 1 species
UACGUAGGGUGCGAGCGUUGUCCGGAAUUAUUGGGCGUAAAGGGCUCGUAGGCGGUUUGUCGCGUCGGGAGUGAAAACCCAGGGCUUAACCCUGGGCUGGCUUCCGAUACGGGCAGACUAGAGGUAUGCAGGGGAGAACGGAGUUCCUGGUGUAGCGGUGAAAUGCGCAGAUAUCAGGAGGAGCACCGGUGGCGAAGGCGGUUCUCUGGGCAUUACCUGACGCUGAGGAGCGAAAGUGUGGGGAGCGAACAGG